GCAUCCGGUAGCCUGAAGGGCCAGUCUCACUUCCACCAUGUCCCCGCAACAGCACGGAGUGUAUUUUCAGGCAGCCGGUGAGUAGGGCUACAAGCCUCCAGCUGAGAAAGCAAAGCCAACUCACAGUUCCUUGGCUGUCCCGCGGAGCCUGCGGUGGCAAACCACCUCCUUCAGAAGGGUCUGUGGAUUCUCCUGGCUUUUCUGUCCUUGCCGGAGUCCCACUGCUCCCGAACACAUGCCCUGAGGCAGCGUGCCUGCACAACCAGCUUCCAUCUGAACGCUUCAGACAUGCGCUGCAUUCAGGGCAGGGACUUUUCUUGGACAGAGAAGCUGAGAAGUAUCAGAUAAAGAUGACCUGCAUGUACUGGAAAAUAAUCUGUGGUUUAUAUGUAGGCGGAUGGAAGCAAACCAGGGAACAAAAGAAGAAUUUGUAGUUCACAGCCACAUGAGAUAGUCAAGUGUUAAAAGGGAAAAAGAGCUAUCGAAGGCAGGAAGCAAAAUGCCUUCAGAGAUAAAAGGUUAUUCGUGGCUGAGUGAAAAAAAUGGACAAUGAGCAGAAAAUAAUUUAUACUACAAAGUCUUUAGACGUCAUUUACUUGGUAAGACAUUAUAGAAAUAUUUUUGGCCGUUUUGUUUGCUUUAAAAUCCACUUAACUACAAAGUGACUUCACAGUUUAAAAAUGACAUAACAUAAUCUAUAUGGUACUACACUGAUAAUAUCAUCUAAUCUUUCAUUAUGCUGUGACCAAGUCUUCUGUUAAAAGUCUAAU
rnacentral:lncRNA from 1 species